rnacentral:lncRNA from 1 species
GGGCGAUCAGAUAAGCCUGACUUUAUCACUGUUAAAGGUGCAAUUUCACAUCUGAAAACUGAUAAUUUUUGUUAUCCUGCUUGCACCAUGGAGGUGAAUGGUAGGCUGUGCAACAAAAAGGUAAUGAAUAAUGGUGAUGGGACAUGGCAGUGUGACAAAUGCAACAAGAGCUUACCAAAUUUCGAGUAUAGAUACUUGCUGCUGUGCCAGAUCCAGGACCACACUGGGGUCACCUAUGCUACUGCAUUCCAAGCGGCUGGUGAAGCAAUAUUUGGCCACACGGCUCAAGAGCUUUUCAUGAUACAAAAUGUAGAACAAGAUGACAUGAGAUUCACAGAAAUCAUGCAGGCGGUCCUUCGGCGUGAAUACCUAUUCAAGCUGAAAAUCUAUGAGGAAACCUAUAAUGGUGAGCAGCGUGUGAUAUGCUCCAUCAUUGGUGUUGAGAAGCUGGAAGAAACCAACAACCUUUUAAAGGAUGUUUCCCGCCCUAUUCUGAAGGAUCAUUCAUCCUACAUCCCAAGCGUUGGCUCUGCCAAUUUGGAAGCCAAACAGAGCUUGCUAACCUCCAGCAAUGCCUAUGGCUGUGCCACAGUUGUGGGUGACACAGGCUUUGCACAGUCGGACGGGAUAUGGUCGGCAGGGAGGGGAGCCCAAGCAUGCUUCAAAUGCAACCAGCCUGGGCACUGGUCUAAGGACUGCCUUGUCUGAGGCACUUUAGUGCCUUGGCUCAUCCAGGAGGUCACUGGAAAAACCUCUCAUACCAAAUAGUUCUACGAAGGUUGCUUUUGCUUAGUAGGCUGCGAGUCCUACUUUAUCAUGUACAGUUAUAUUUUCAGUACCUAUCUCUAUCUAUGUGCCUGGUUCCUUUGGACCAGGUGGUUAGUACUUAGUAAUAUGCUGGAGGUUGCUGGAAAAACCUAAUCUAUGUCCUUUGCAAGCCUGCCUUAUUGUGGAAUCUGUGGUUUGUAAGCGCCUUAUUAUGGAACCUGUGGUAUGUAAGCAACUGAUGGUUAGUAGUAUUCAUCUUAUGUUCAAGAAUGUUUUUUAUAUAUUUGUUCUGUGCAAGUCCAAUCAAGGGUUUGUUGGUGUCUACUUUGCUUCUGUAUGCAUGUGAAUGUUCAGGCAGAUGCCCUCUUUAUUUUUUUCAAUCCUCAUGAAUUUGGUGUUCGGGUGUACAAGCAGGAUACUGCACCCGGGCUGGUUGGUGAUCAUCUGUGCUGUGAUUAUUAGAAGAAUCUGGUGCCUUUCAGCGGCUUACUUUUAUUUUUAAAGAAAAAGAAAACCCAAAUCAAUGCAGUAAAUUCUGUUAGAACGAGCCAACGAGGGAAGACAGAGCAAGUAUUGCCGCGAUAUCUAUUGCUGCUCAGACUAGCUAUGUCCAGAGGUCAUUGGCGGAGAUGAUGAUGAAGAAAUAAAUUCUCAAUUUACUAGUAUAGUGCCCGUGCUAACGCUACGGCUUUUUUCAGAAUGCACAUGAAAACAACUAAACAAUGAUAGUUUUCUACAGUUUAAGUCUCAUGCAAUUAUAUGUGACCAUACAUAUAAUACAAAAAAAUACUCAUGCAUAAUGAGACAUAAUAAAGUCAUGUCUCGCAUAGUAUAAUUAACUUAUUUAAUUUGAAGCACGGGACACAUUAAGAUAAAAAAUUGAAAAGGCAUAAAAAUCUAUAGCCGGCAACUGUACAAGCUGUGAUUAGAGCUAGUUAACCCAGCAAAAGUUGAGGCGAGUUAGUCCUGACGGCCUUCACACCCCUUUCCAUCCUGACGGUCUUCACAUCCGCAAGUCAGUACACAAGAACAUUAAAUAGAAAAUGCUUUUAGAGAGUCUGACGGAUGAGUGCAACUGGUGAAUGCAAAGUCCAAACUUGUUCUACAAAACAAUAAAACACAUGAAUAUUAGAUUUAGUCAGAGAGGAACUGCGAGCCUGCACCACUGUUGCAUGAAAAUGAGGAGGCUAAUAUCAGUACUAAUAGGCUGCAGCCCUACGCCAAUAUGUUGCAAGCAGCAUUCAUGUACUAUAUCAAGCAAUUGAAUAUGUAUAUCGAAAAUAUUAGUCAAUUGGCUAUAAGGUAGGCAAUAAAAAAAUUAUCACUGACCCACCAUACAAAUUCCAUCAUAAAAAGCUGAAUAAAUAGUGCAAUUUUUAGUACAUCAAAAAUAAAAUUGAUCUUGAUAUCAUAAUAAUUCCAUUAGCAAUCAGCAAUACAACAAGAACCUUCCCACUACUUUAGAGGGAUGCCUUCCAACACGAACUCUAGGCUAGCAUGAACUUCAAUUAGCUUGCAAAUAACUCACCCUUCAUUAAUAUCGAUAGGUUUCCUAUCAUACAAAUCAAACUCUCUUGCAUGCAUACCUAUAUUUUUACAGUAUAAAAAAGUUUACCCACCCCGUCAUGGAUCCAGACCAAGUAUUAGCUGGUAAAUUACUAAAUUGUACUAACAUAGUGGAAAUGUCAUAAGAUAGAAGAAAAUAAAGUAGAUCAACCCAGGAUUAAGUUCUAGUUCAUGUAUUCUUGACCAAGUACAGGAAGCAUUGACAUCUUAUAAACUGUAUCGUCAAAUAUUUAACCUGAAAUGCAGAAAUCACAUAAUUGUAUACUGAAGAAAUGCAGAAAUAUUAGUACUACAAAAAGCAGAGUUCUAAUUGUCAGGACAACUAUUCAGUGUAAUUCAGAGUUCCACCUUUAAUGUCUUAUUUUGUGAUUCUUCUACGUACUGUCACUUAUCAACACUAUCCUUGAGCUGGUUUUCACACAGGGAAAAAGGAACUACAUUUACAUGCUUGUCAAAAGUGUAAGUGAUUUAUAGGAAGGAAACUCCUAAUACAAGAAAGCCUCAUGCAAUUCUGUAACCAGUCAAACUCACAUAGACAGUAGAAUUGCAUUUUUGUUUCCUAUCACUUCGUAUAUAAACUACUUAAAACAGGUUAGUUGAUGCAUAUUAGAAGAAGAUGCAUGAUGAUUAUUGAAGAUGGAGGCAUACCAUGCAGCAUGCACAUAUCAGACCAGCGUAGACCCUCUUGUCUGUAACUCUCGGCAAUCUGGAAUUGCAGCAGUGCUUGUACUGCAACAUUGGAACUGCUGGCCAAGUAAAGACUGAAACACCAAAUAAAAAACAGAAAUCAGUAACACAAGUAAAAACUUGUUUUGGUUGAAAUGCAGAAAUCACAUAAUUAUAUACUGAAGAAAUGCAGAAAUAUUAGUACUACAAAAAGACAAGCAGAGUUCCAAUUGUCAGGAUAAUUAUUCAGGGUAAUUCAGAGUUCCACCUUUAAUAUCUUAUUCUGCGAUUCUUCUACAUACUGUUCAGAGGUCGUUGCCAAUCCCCAGUGUGCCUGCUACAGUAACAUACAAAAUAAGAUAAACAUUAUAAAAAAAUAAAAUGAACAAUCAAAAUAUCAUUAAGAUUCAAGGAACAAAACCCUGCAAGAAAGCCAAGAGUGUAGGUGUGUAUUUCAACUCCCAAACAUGAGACAAGCCGUUGAUUUCUGAAAGUUAAAACACUUCAGUAGUACCAGUGCAAAUUUGAGGCCAAAAGUACCAGUGCAAUGCUAUGUUUCACUGUGAAAACAAAUAAUUUAAAAUGUGUUGAUUUUAUUAUCACAUAUUAGCCAUCAAUUUUGGCACUUCCCAACAUGUUUGAACUCUGUAGCAUCUCAAUCCUGCAAGACCACAAAAUAUGACAAGAUGCUAGUUGUAAGAUAAGAACAAAAGAUUUAAAACAUUGAGCCUCUCUGUCAUGAAGGAAAUACAUGUAGCUCUAGUGAAAACACAGUUAUCCAUAAGCUUUGGCUUUAUAUGUUGUAGGGGUGAUGGUAAUAGUGAUCGAAAACAUACUCAACUAACAAUUUCUCUAUUGCCAUAUAUUAUAUUUGUCCAUAUUAGGGUGGGUUAGAAUUCAGAUUUUGUGUCAAACCUUAAAUACAUGGAAACUGACAUCGUUAAAGAAUAUAUGGUUUACAGAACAGAGAGGAAGCGAGCAAAACUUGCUUCUUUCCUAACUCUACAAAAUUAAUCAAUUAUUCUUCAGGCUGCAAACAACCAACAAACUAAUGAAUCAGCCUAAGGUGGAGAAAAAUUCCAAAUCACCUAGAAAGCGAAGCAACUCACCUUCUCGAUCUGUUCCGGAUCUGCAGGAGAUUGUCCAAGGAGAAAAACAGGCCGUGAUCGAUGGCAUUUUCCAUUGUCCCAGUCCCCGUGGGUGUCGGCGGCCUUUGCCCUCUUGCCGUUUUGUCCCGUACUGGCAGCCGUUGCCCUGUUGGCCCUAUCUGUAUGCACCAAAUUAGGAUGACGCGAGCCUCCACGAGUGGGAAAUCCGGCAGAGAGAGAGAGAGAGAGAGAGAGAGAGAGAGGAGCAAACCGAUCAGACGACGGGAGGUCAAGCAGAGCGCCUAGCGGUGUAGAACACCGGCACCAGCCCUCGCUAGUGUGGGUAGGGGGAAGCCGGGAAGGGGGCAGCCGUGGCCACCAACGGCGCACCGCCUGCGCCACGCCGUACCGGGGCCGCCAACAGCAGGGGCCACAGCCGUGGCCGUCCGAGUGGUGCCGGUGGCGGCGAGGACCUUCAGUAUGGGCACCGGCAGCGGAGGAUCUAGGAGGGCCGCCAUGGCCUGCUCGUGCCAGCGCGCCGCCUGCGAGGGCGCCGUCGCCCUACGGCCGCGCCUCCUUGGGACUUGGGAGAGAGAUGGAGGGGUAUGUGAAGGGAGCAGGAGAUGAGGAGUCGGAGUCACUUCGGGAAAUAAAAAAUUACAUGUGCAGGAGGUGACGUCGGGGAGAGACCGAGAGAGGGAGUUGCGCGUGGGGUCGCUGUGGGAUGGGAGGAGUGAUGAGCUUUGAUCCAAACAAUUUGGUCCGUUGGAUAUGAGUGAGUAAGAGAAAUGAGUGAUUAGAGUUAAUCUUGUCCCUUAAUUUCAUAAGAUAGAGCUUUCUGGGUGCAAUUAUCUGGGUGUAUUGAGUGGAGUUUAUGACUAUAGUAGUGGGUUAUGGGGUGCAUUUAGCUAAGUUCUCAACUGGUGGAUUAUAUAGUAGUGGAGAUUCCCCCCUCUCCUCUCCUCUCCUCUCGGGCGCGAUGGCGGCGCAGCUGACGACCGGCGCGGUGGCGGCGGUGUCGGAGCACGCGGACGGCAACGGGACGCUGCAACCCGUGCUGCAGGUGGUGGACGUGCGGAUAGUCCCCAACGUCAAGAGCGCCACCAACUUGCUGCUGUGCCAGAUCCAGGACCACACUGGGGUCACCUAUGCUACUGCAUUCCAAGCGGCUGGUGAAGCAAUAUUUGGCCACACGGCUCAAGAGCUUUUCAUGAUACAAAAUGUAGAACAAGAUGACAUGAGAUUCACAGAAAUCAUGCAGGCGGUCCUUCGGCGUGAAUACCUAUUCAAGCUGAAAAUCUAUGAGGAAACCUAUAAUGGUGAGCAGCGUGUGAUAUGCUCCAUCAUUGGUGUUGAGAAGCUGGAAGAAACCAACAACCUUUUAAAGGAUGUUUCCCGCCCUAUUCUGAAGGAUCAUUCAUCCUACAUCCCAAGCGUUGGCUCUGCCAAUUUGGAAGCCAAACAGAGCUUGCUAACCUCCAGCAAUGCCUAUGGCUGUGCCACAGUUGUGGGUGACACAGGCUUUGCACAGUCGGACGGGAUAUGGUCGGCAGGGAGGGGAGCCCAAGCAUGCUUCAAAUGCAACCAGCCUGGGCACUGGUCUAAGGACUGCCUUGUCUGAGGCACUUUAGUGCCUUGGCUCAUCCAGGAGGUCACUGGAAAAACCUCUCAUACCAAAUAGUUCUACGAAGGUUGCUUUUGCUUAGUAGGCUGCGAGUCCUACUUUAUCAUGUACAGUUAUAUUUUCAGUACCUAUCUCUAUCUAUGUGCCUGGUUCCUUUGGACCAGGUGGUUAGUACUUAGUAAUAUGCUGGAGGUUGCUGGAAAAACCUAAUCUAUGUCCUUUGCAAGCCUGCCUUAUUGUGGAAUCUGUGGUUUGUAAGCGCCUUAUUAUGGAACCUGUGGUAUGUAAGCAACUGAUGGUUAGUAGUAUUCAUCUUAUGUUCAAGAAUGUUUUUUAUAUAUUUGUUCUGUGCAAGUCCAAUCAAGGGUUUGUUGGUGUCUACUUUGCUUCUGUAUGCAUGUGAAUGUUCAGGCAGAUGCCCUCUUUAUUUUUUUCAAUCCUCAUGAAUUUGGUGUUCGGGUGUACAAGCAGGAUACUGCACCCGGGCUGGUUGG